rnacentral:rRNA from 1 species
GACGAACGCUGGCGGCGUGCUUAACACAUGCAAGUCGAACGGAAAGGCCCUGCUUUUGUGGGGUGCUCAAGUGGCGAACGGGUGAGUAACACGUGAGUAACCUGCCCUUGACUUUGGGAUAACUUCAGGAAACUGGGGCUAAUACCGGAUAGGAGCUCCUGCUGCAUGGUGGGGGUUGGAAAGUUUCGGCGGUUGGGGAUGGACUCGCGGCUUAUCAGCUUGUUGGUGGGGUAGUGGCUUACCAAGGCUUUGACGGGUAGCCGGCCUGAGAGGGUGACCGGCCACAUUGGGACUGAGAUACGGCCCAGACUCCUACGGGAGGCAGCAGUGGGGAAUAUUGCACAAUGGGCGGAAGCCUGAUGCAGCAACGCCGCGUGCGGGAUGACGUCCUUCGGGUUGUAAACCGCUUUCGCCUGUGACGAAGCGUGAGUGACGGUAAUGGGUAAAGAAGCACCGGCUAACUACGUG